rnacentral:rRNA from 1 species
AGAGUUUGAUCCUGGCUCAGCCUGAACGCUGGCGGCGUGGCUAAGACAUGCAAGUCGCACGGGCGUAGCAAUACGUCAGUGGCGCACGGGUGAGUAAUGUAUAGCUAACCUACCCCGGACUCUGGGAUAGCUAACCGAAAGGUUAGGUAAUACCAGAUGAUAUCACGAUGUCGCAUGGCAUUGUGCUCAACGGGCAACUGGUCUGGGAUGGGGCUAUAUCGUAUCAGCUAGUUGGUAAGGUAACGGCUUACCAAGGCAAUGACGCGUAGCCGGACUGAGAGGUCGGUCGGCCACAUCGGAACUGAGACACUGUCCGGACUCCUACGGGGGGCUGCAGUAACGAAUCUUCCACAAUGCACGAAAGUGUGAUGGAGCGACGCCGCGUGUGGGAUGAAGUCCUUCGGGAUGUAAACCACUGUCAGGGGUAAGAAAGUUCUGAUCUACCCCAGAGGAAGUGGCGACUAACUCUGUGCCAGCAGUCGCGGUAAUACAGAGGCCACAAGCGUUAGGCGGAAUCACUGGGCUUAAAGCGUGUGUAGGCGGGAUGGUAAGUACCUUGUGAAAUCCCACGGCUCAACCGUGGAAAUGCUCGGUAUACUGCCGUUCUUGAAUCACCUAGGGGCAGCUGGAACUGAUGGUGGAGCGGUGAAAUGCAUAGAUAUCAUCAGGAACGCCAAUGGUGCAGACAAGCUGCUGGGGGUGUAUUGACGCUGAGGCACGAAAGCUAGGGGAGCAAACGGGAUUAGAUACCCUAGUAGUCC